CCCCUUCCCUGUUAGGUGGGCUGUUUUCAUUAUCAUUUGCUUGUUUAUUGAUUGGUGACAUGGCCAGUCUAUUUUAAUGAAGUCUAUUUCCCUGCAGUGUCUCUCCUAAGUAAGGCACAGCUUUGGACAUUCAUAGUUACUUGGGACAACAGUUUUAGCAGGGCUCUCUUUCUCCUUUCCUGAUCUCUCUGUUAAGCUGCCUGGCUCAUUUGAUAUCACAUCCAAAUUAUCAGCUGAUUGCUCUAUUGUUUUGGACAAUGCCCUGAAGCAUACCAAAAUGUGUCUGGAAUUGGUGGGUUCUUGGUCUUACUGACUUUAAGAAUGAAGUUGCGGACUUUUGCGAUGCCAAUAUUUUACCUCUUGGGUACUUUCUGUGUAGAAGAUUCAUAACAAGAACAAUACUUAUUCUGCAAUUCUUUAUAUAAAGCUAAAAGAAAAUGCAUUCUGCCAACAACUAAUGAGCUUGGAAGAGAACUCCAAACCCCAGAAGAGGCCUGUCACAUUGGCUAACACCUUGAUUUCCACCCACUGAGACCUUGAGCAGAGACUUCAGUUACACCCCACCCAGACUUCUGACCUGCAAAACUGUGAGCUAAUACAUGGAUGGUGUUUCAAGCUUCUGUUUGUAAAAUAUUGUUCCCCAGCAAUAGAAAAGUAAUACAUUUAUCUAAAAUCCUAUUGUUGAUAAAUGAGAGUCCAAGAUCUCCUAAGACUUAAAACAAGUCUUUUAUCUCCUGCUAGAGACAGAGAUAACAAACAGUGAUUUAAGAAUGCAUUUGAUCAAGCACCAAGGUAUAUAAUCAAGGUAUAGAUGCCCAUUGGGUGAGGAACACCCAAACUACUAUUCUUUAAUCAAUAAGAGAAGGUAAAAACUGAGAUUUAUAAUUGGUCAAACAUUAAUUCUGAAUAAAAGAAAACUAUUUCAGAGAAAGUGGAAUGUAUCUCCCACUAAAUUGCAUGGCUAGGAGUUAAAAAAAAAGGAAGCUACUCCUCCAACAUUUUAGCCUUUCAAAUCUGGUGGUACCAGCUAGAAACUAACAGGGGAUAUUUG
rnacentral:lncRNA from 1 species